GAUGAACGCUGGCGGCGUGCCUAAUACAUGCAAGUCGAGCGAACGGACGAGAAGCUUGCUUCUCUGAUGUUAGCGGCGGACGGGUGAGUAACACGUGGAUAACCUACCUAUAAUACUGGGAUAACUUCGGGAAACCGGAGCUAAUACCGGAUGAUAUUUUGAACCGCAUGGUUCAAAAGUGAAAGACGGUCUUGCUGUCACUUAUAGAUGGAUCCGCGCUGCAUUAGCUAGUUGGUAAGGUAACGGCUUACCAAGGCAACGAUGCAUAGCCGACCUGAGAGGGUGAUCAGCCACACUGGAACUGAGACACGGUCCAGGCUCCUACGGGAGGCAGCAGUAGGGAAUAUUCCGCAAUGGGCGAAAGCCUGACGGAGCAACGCCGCGUGAGUGAUGAAGGUCUUCGGAUCGUAAAACUCUGUUAUUAGGGAAGAACAUAUGUGUAAGUAACUGUGCACAUCUUGACGGUACCUAAUCAGAAAGCCACGGCUAACUACGUG
rnacentral:rRNA from 1 species